rnacentral:rRNA from 1 species
CAAUAGCGUAUAUUAAAGUUGUUGCAGUUAGAACGCUCGUAGUCGGAUUUCGGGGCGGGCCGACCGGUCUGCCGAUGGGUACGCACUGGUCGGCGCGUCCUUCCUUCCGGAGACCGUGCCUACUCUUAACUGAGCGGGGGCGGGAGACGGAUCGUUUACUUUGAAAAAAUCAGAGUGUUUCAAGCAGGCAGCUCGCUCUUGCAUGGAUUAGCAUGGGAUAAUGAAAUAGGACUUUGGUGCUAUUUUGUUGGUUUCGAACACCGAAGUAAUGAUUAACAGGGACAGUCAGGGGCACUCGUAUUCCGCCGAGAGAGGUGAAAUUCUCAGACCAGCGGAAGACGAACUACUGCGAAAGCAUUUGCCAGGGAUGUUUUCAUUGA